GAUGAAGAACGUAGCGAAAUGCGAUAAGUAGUGUGAAUUGCAGAGUUCAGUGAAUCAUCGAAUCUUUGAACGCACAUUGCGCCCCUUGGUAUCCCGAGGGGCAUGCCUGUUCGAGCGUCAUUUCACCACUCAAGCCUGGCUUGGUGUUGGGCGACGUCCCCUUUGGGGACGCGCCUCGAAACGCUCGGCGGCGUGGCACCGGCUUUAAGCGUAGCAGAAUCUUUCGCUUUGGAAGUCGGGGCCCCGUCUGCCGGAAGACCUACUCGCAAGGUUGACCUCGGAUCAGGCAGGGAUACCCGCUGAACUUAAGCAUAUCAAUAAGCGGAGGA
rnacentral:misc_RNA from 1 species